rnacentral:rRNA from 1 species
CGAUUAGAGUUUGAUCCUGGCUCAGGAUGAACGCUGGUGGUAUGCCUAAUACAUGCAAGUCGAACGAAGCCUUUUUAAGGCUUAGUGGCAAACGGGUGAGUAAUGUAUGUUUAACCUACCUUAAAGUCUGGAAUAACCAUUGGAAACGAUGGCUAAUACCGGAUAAUAUAUUUUUAGGCAUCUUUAAAUGUUGAAAGAUGCGUUUGCAUCGCUUUUAAAUGGGAACAUAUUGCAUUAGCUUGUUGGUGAGGUAAAAGCUCACCAAGGCGAUGAUGCAUAGCCGAACUGAGAGGUUGAUCGGCCACAAUGGGACUGAGACACGGCCCAUACUCCUACGGGAGGCAGCAGUAGGGAAUUUUUCACAAUGGACGAAAGUCUGAUGAAGCAAUACCACGUGGAGGAUGACGGAUUUAGGUCUGUAAACUCCUGUUAUAGGGAAAGAAAAAAUUGGAAAGGAAAUGUUCCAAUAUUGACGUUACCCUGUUAGAAAGUCAUGGCUAACUACGUGCCAGCAGCCGCGGUAAUACGUANAUGGCGAGCGUUAUCCGGAUUUAUUGGGCGUAAAGAGUGCACAGGUGGUUAAAUAAGUUUGAUGUUUAAUGCUAUGGCUCAACCAUAGUGCGCAUUGAAAACUGUUUGACUAGAAUUCAAGUGGGGAUAGUGGAAUUCCAUGUGUAGCGGUAGAAUGCAUAAAUAUAUGGAGGAACACCAGUGGCGAAGGCGGCUAUCUGAAUUGAUAUUGACACUUAAGCACGAAAGCGUGGGGAGCAAAUAGGAUUAGAUACCCUAGUAGUCCACGCUGUAAACGAUCUAUACUAGACGUUGCCUUUGAAGGGCAGUGUCGCAGCUAACGCAUUAAGUAUAGCGCCUGGGUAGUAUGCACGCAAGUGUGAAACUCAAAGGAAUUGACGGGGACCCGCACAAGCGGUGGAGCAUGUGGAUUAAUUCGAUGAUACGCGAAGAACCUUACCUACACUUGACAUACCCAGCGAAGUUAUAGAGAUAUAAUGGAGGUUAUCUGGUGUACAGGUGGUGCAUGGUUGUCGUCAGCUCGUGUCGUGAGAUGUUUGGUUAAGUCCAGCAACGAGCGCAACCCCUAUUCUAUGUUACUAAUAUUAAGUUAAGGACUCAUGGAAGACUGCCUAGGCAACUAGGAGGAAGGUGGGGACGACGUCAAAUCAUCAUGCCCCUUAUGUGUAGGGCUUCACACGUGCUACAAUGGUUAUAACAAAGUGUUGCAAUAUCGUGAGAUGGAGCUAAUCACAAAAAAUAAUCUCAGUUCGGAUUGUAGUCUGCAACUCGACUACAUGAAGUUGGAAUCGCUAGUAAUCAUAGGUCAGCAAUACUAUGGUGAAUACGUUCUCGGGUCUUGUACACACCGCCCGUCAAACCACGAAAGUCGGCAAUGCUUAAAACUAGUGUUCUAACCAUUUUUUGGAAGAAGCUAUCUAGAGUAGGGUUGAUGAUUGGGGUUAAGUCGUAACAAGGUAACC